UAGAAUUUGGUGUAUUUGGGAGCACGAAAAGUUUUGGAUUCUUAGGAGUAGGUUCAAUUCCUAUAAUUCUAG
rnacentral:tRNA from 1 species